CAUAUGGAAGUUCCCAGCCUAGGGCUCUAAUCGGAGCUACAGCUGCCAGCCCAUGCCACAGCAAAGGGGGAACCAAGCUGAGUCUUCGACCUACACCACAGCUCACAGCUCACAGCAAUGCCGGAUCCUUAACCCACUGAGCAAGGCCAGGGAUUGAACCUAUGUCCUCAAGGAUACUGCUCAGUUUGUUACUACUGAGCCACCAUGGGAACUCCAUCAAUUUAAAUUCUUAGCAGCUUUCCUCAGUGGUCAUAUCACAGCCUAAUGAAGUGUAAUUGUUGCUGGCUAAUUUUCUGCAGUUUCUUUCCUACCAAACAAAAUUAAAAUCACAUCUAAGCAAUGUUUAAAGCUCCGCCUCCCCCCCCACAGAAAUAGCAAUCAUUUGACCUCAUUCUGUUCAAAUGACUUUUUCUUCCAGGUUGCAUUUGUUUGCUUUAGUUGUGGGGAGAAGUGCAAUUAUUAUAAACAUAAUAGCAGCUUAUAUUAAUUUCGCUUUACACUCACAAGUAUAUGACAUUAUGUUUUUGAUUCUUAUAAACCCAUUGUAAAAGUAUGUGAAUUAUUACCCAUUUUCACAAACAGUAAGUGAAGGUUAAGCAACCUGCCCAAUGUCACUAUGUUAAUAAGGUCAGAAGGAGUCACAAAUCCAGAUCCUUUAGUAAGUCUUUGGCUCUUUUCUAUUAUUUCAUCAGGAAAGUAUCAUAUAAAGAAACAUUCGGAAGACCCCUGUAUGUCACUCUAUAGUAAAUUCAAUAUUAAGUAUACUCGAAAGGUUUUUUGCCGUCUCUAGACUGCUUCUUUCUUAUCCUUCUAUCAAAAUAACUCUGACACGUUGUCUUACAGUGGUAGAAGUCAACACUGCAGAACUGUGCAAACACAGAUGAUCUCAAAUGCCCAAGUUCUACCAAAAAAAAAAAAAAAGUUUGGUCCACAAAAGCUGUUCAAGGAAUCCAUCGAUAUGCUUCAGAUUCAACUAGCGAAGGAGGAGAGAUCUGUCACCCAAGCCUGUCAUAGAGCAAAGGAACAGAGAAUAGAAGGUCUGGGGCAGAAGAGGAGCAAUCAGGUCCUGGGAAAACAGGAGUGAUCAGAAGCCUAAGAUGUUGACAGGAGAAUCACGGGAGCCUUAGCAAGUUCCCAAUUCUUUUCCACCCAGUUGUUGGAAAACAUCCAUUUACAUCUGUUAAGUGGUUCAAUUUAUGUGUCUACUUAUCUAGACUAAAAGCAUCUCAAGCCAAGUGCAAUAUUUCUUGGGAUAGUUUCUUAAAUGUUCUUGAAAGCUACUUGGGUUGUCUUUUGUUUAGUCUGUCUUUUAAGCACACAUUUUUAAAAAUUCAAUUAGAAAAAUGGGUAAAUGGCACGAACGAACACUUCAGUGAAGAGAGUAUAUGAAGGGCAAAUAAGUACAGGAAGAGAUGUUCAACAUCAGGAGCUAUCAGACAAUGCAAAUUAACUCUAAUGAGCCCUCACUUCACACCUAUCAGAGUGGUGAAAAUAAAGAACACCAAAUGCUGGUGAGGAUGCGGAAAAACUAGACCACGCAUACUCUGAAGGAGUAUAAACUGACUACUGCACAAUAAAAAUCAAUUACUGAUGCAUGCAACAACCUGGAGGAAUCUCCCAGGAGUUAGAGUCAAGAGCCAAUCCAAAACGUUAUAAACUUUAUGAUUCCAUUUAUAUACGGCAUUUUUAGACAUGGUGAAUCAAUUAGUGGUUUCCAGGGUCUAGGGGCAGGAGAGGAAUGGUGGGAGAGAAGUGGGCGUCGCUAUUAAUGACAAGGGCAACAAGAGGGACCCUUGUGUGUUGGAAGUGUUCGCAUCUUUACUGCGGUGGCAGAUACAAUUUUAACUCCACAUGUGAUCCAACUGUUUGGAACGAAAUACGCACAGACGAGUAAAAGUUAAACUGUAAAUGUGACCAAGACCGGUAAAGGGCAUCCAGGUCAAUGUUCUGUUUAUACACCAUGUGGGUAUUUCUGCAAGACGUUACCAGUGGGGGGCACUGAUGAAAGACUCUUUCUUACAAUUCCGUGUCCAUCUGUGAGGAUCUCAGUUAAAAUGUCAGUUUAAAAAUGCAUCAGUGACUAGUACUUGCAGGCUUAGCCAUCUCAAAAUAUUUUUGCCUUCCUUCUUUGAAACAGGACUGCUCUUUGCUGUAUUUGUCAACAAUUAUUUCUCAUAACUAGCUUCCAUUACAUACAUUAUGAAUACAGCUCAUUAAACUUAAGCUGAUGAGCUAAAGAAGCCUUAAACCAACAGUCCAUGUUGUGAGGCUUCAUUUGCAUAAGCUGGAGGAGAGGCAAAUAUAAUCUGUGAGGCAAAAGCUCUUAAAGCCAGAAGACUAGUUUCCUGCUGCUAAGGGGAAGCAGUAGGCGACUAGGAAGGUGCAGAAGAACUAGCUGGGCUGGCAGUAACGUUCUAGACCCUGACAGGCGUGCAAGUGACACAUAUGUAAGCAUUUGUCCAAACUCAAACUUAGCCGUAAGAUUGUGCACUCCAAUGUAUGCAAACUUGACAUGAAAAAAAACUAUAAACAGAUUGAAAUGAAGCCUAAAUUACUAGCUUCCUAUCUGUUAGAUUCACAUUCUUUCAACUGAUGAUUCUAGCAGUAAGAUACCACACCUUCGAUAUACCCAGGAUCAAACUAAAUGACUCCAAAAGUUUACAAUUAUCCCAUCUCAUACGCCUUCUUCUCAGGGAAAGGAAAUUGCAAUCAGUAACCAUGAAGCAAAUUCAUAUAAAAAAAGUAUCAUUAAAUCAGACUAAAUUAAAUUAAAGCAGAUGUAAUUAGGGCCCUCUGAAACUAAUUUUGGCUAAUACUUUGUUUACAUGCAAUAUAGAUGUAGCAACUACUGACCUCAGGCACUUUCAGCUUUUAUAUUAAUUACUACAUGUGCUUUUUAUAUCCCAGUUCAGAAUAUCCUUUAUAGGUCUGAGUAGCUUAGAUUCUUCUGCCAAGGUAAUUUCAAAUGAGUCUCAGAUCCCACAGAAGACCAAAAAAAAAAAAAAAAAUCCUAUAAAAAUCCACAUAUUGAUAUUGAUGUAACAUCAGUGGGCUGACAGUAAGAGUUACAGAUUUUGCUUUGCCAAACCACGAUUUUGUUCUAUUUACAAUACUUAUUGUGGUAAAAUUACAAGAGGGAUGGUGGGCUGUUCUUAAUUACUAUUAUACCCAAUAGGAUCCAACCCUUUUCACUUAAUAGGCUUACACUGCAGAGACAUGUCUUCUUAAUUGGCCAGACAAGUCAAGACGCUGAUGAAAAUUAUUCCCUGACCCUACCAACAAGUCAGAGAGAAGAUACUGUGAGAAAUGUCUUGUGCCUACUAUCCACCUUGGUCUUUAAGCUUUGUUCAUGCUCCAGGCUCCAUUUCUAGCUGCAUUUUAGGUUAAAUCACUCUGAUUGAUGGAAUAUAUGGUGGUCAUGAGCUCUAUUACCAAAACAUCUGAAGUAUAUUCUUCAUUAUUCAAUGAAAUGAACUGCAAAAAUUUACACAAUUCUCAAGGUAUUUCAGCUACAAAUGUUGACUUUUUUAUACUACUUGGUAAAAAUAUUAACAUAAACAAGAUGGCAGUUUCAACUCUAGAAAGAGACGGGGAAUACGCAGCCAAUGGGCAAACAAAAGCUAGAGGAAAUGCCUAUCAGAAGUUGCGCCUGCAAGAGCAGUUGCCCAGUUGAGAGUCAAGUUAGAGGCAGCAAGGAGAAAAUGAUUUGCUGUGAAAAUAUGAUGUCUGUUCAAAAGACCCAGAAGCUAAGCAUAAGUCCAUCAACCGAGUUUCAGUAAUAAAAUGAGAGCAGGUGCUAACACAGGAAUCCAUGCACAUGCGACCUGGGCACAUACAAUUCCUAUUCAAAGCCCAUGCGUAGCUUCCUUCCUUUCUUACUCCCACUGUGAGGAUCUAUACUUUCACCUUUUGUUAUGCUUGACCACCAGUCUUACUGGACUUCCACAGAGAGCUGCAAGCCCCAGCAAACGGAAAGUUUUAGUCUGUCUAGCUAUCAGAGCUAGCCCAAUCAUUUGGGUUAUUAACGCAUGUUCACUCAACAGCACCUAAUUCUUUAACCAGAUGAAUGGAUUUGGAAAUGACAAUCUGAUAUGCAACUCUGUCCUCUUUUUCUGUCCAAAGAGGUCCCUACGUUUAUUGUGGUGUUUUUGUUUUUAUAACAAAAAAAGGUAUGAACAUUCCAUAAAUGCAGGAUUGUAUUCCUACAACCAAGCAAAACUCGAUCUGCCCCUUCCAGGUGCGGAACAACCCUCCUGGCUCUCCGGGUCAUAUCCUUCCCUAUCUUAAAUAGUUAUUUUGAUAAAAUUUGCUCCUAAGUUUGAGUCCUCAGCCUCAUUUCAUUCCUUCCCCUGCCAUCAGUAGGCACUUCAGAACCACAGACCAUCUUUCGUCAAGUCUAGUGCUCUGUUGCUGAACAGACCAGAGAAUGACUUUAGUCGUGAAGAGGCCGGCAAGCGCUGGUCCUACAUGCACUGAUGCAAGAACUGGUUAAGUCGCCAAGUGAUUUGAACAAUUCCUUCCAAGGAAGAGGUUUACACUUGAGAACUGGGACAUUCAAGUGUUCCUGUGUGAUGAUUACCAACCAGGAGGAGAACCCACAGUCUCCUUCCCAUCACUCCCCUCCCCUCACUACAAACGCCUCUAAAUGCCCUUGACCGAAAUACGUUUUUGAGAAGCAUAUGCCUGUUCACAGUAGGUAGGAGUGUGCAUUGCACUAUGUUUAUUUUUCAAACUCAGCAUUUCUUUAUUGCUGAAGAUCUAUUUGGAAAUCCCUUCCUCCUCUGAGGAAGCAUUAUUCAGCCAGGGGGCCAUCAAACGCUGAUAUUUCAAGAAAUCUAAUCUCUUAAUGACUGCUAUUGGAGAAGAGAGAAGGGCUGUGGAAGAGUCAUCUUGAAAUAAGGGCUCACGGGCACCUGAGAUGGGGCUUAAAUGCUUGCAGGGAAUCAGAACGGCCACCAACAUAUGCCAUCAGCGUAGUGCAGUUUGUCAGCCCAGGGGUGUCCUGUCCAGAGAGGAUGAGCUGUCCCCUCCAACACCCAGGUCCCCCAUGCCUCAUUCUUCCAUCAUGUGCAAGUGCACUCACUGUUUCAAGAUAAAACCAGGCUUCUGGGUGUUCCAAACAGAGCAAGUCGGACUAGUGUGUGUGGAUGGAAGCAAGCAAUAGAGACGAUGUAGGCAGAUGGAGCUGCUCACUGAAGGCUCAGGUUUUGAGCGUGAAUGUCCUUAAUAGUGAAUGUCAGCUACUGAGCAGGGGACAAGGGCAACUUAGGCAGAGAGAAGAAUUUGUGCAAAGCAACAAAGUGAAAACAUGCUCUGUGUGCAAAAAAUAGCAGGUGGUUUUAGUGGGUUUUCAAGAAUGAUGGUGAUGGCAAAGGGUAUCAAAUAGAUGGGAGACAAGAUUUAAGGAAAGUGUUUAAUAAUUCAUUCAACACAUACAUAUUAAGCAUCAAUGAUGCACCAGUCAUGAUGCUGAGGUGGAGGAAAACAAUGUUUAAGAAAUAAGAGAUCCUCCUUUUUGAAAAGAAACCAGACCUCAGAUACAGAGUUGAUUCAAACAAGAUUCUCAACAUCAACGCUGUCAUUGUAAUUCCUUCCAAAGAAGCCGAGUGGAGGUUUUUGGUUAAGUUAGAAAAUCUGAUCUCAAAGAAAUGGAUAGCAUUUAGGCGGACUGAGGAAAGACUUUGCUGCUACUUAAGUUCUCUAGCUAUCUUUAUCAUUGGUAAGAUAUGACAUGAGGAUGCUACAAAUGGCAAGAUCAAGACAAAUGAAGUACACACAAUAAAUUCUCUCUUUUCUGUGUGCUUACAAAAGGUGACUUUCCCUUGAAAAUAAGUACUUAAGCUCAACCAACAGUGCAGAAUUUAAUGUGCGUUGUUACAGGGCCUCCGAAAGUGGUGACAAGCUGAGCUUUGUUCUCGGCCCGGCCCAGGCACACAGACCCAUUCCAAACCUGCGACCCUGGUGUUCGUAAUUAAGUCUGACCUGGGGGAAUCUGAAGGAAGACAAGGUUCAAGGGCCCAGAGGGCACUGAAAAGAAUGAUGGGGCUGAGGGUCUUGAUGUCAACACAAAUAGCAGAAAGUCUGGAGUGGUUUUUUUUUUUUUUAAUGUUACAAUGGGUUGGUUUUUUCUUUUUCUCCGAACUCAUCUCUGCUUUUCCCAAAUAAUAAAAUCACAUAGGUGGGAGGAAGAAAGAAGAGGGCGAUUUGGAACCAAGGAAGUGAGUUUACCACCCACAUCUAAGUUGUUCAGAUCACAGUGCAGGUCCAGCCCUUAACACCCAGCACAGGGAAGACACCCCAUGCCCCCGUCAUCACCCCCUCCUUUGUCCCACAGGUCUGUCAGUGCAGAAGAAGGGCCGGGGCUUGGGGAAAGGCCCAGCCUCAUCUUCCUUAUGAAGAAUCCUUCACCCUCCAGAGCCAGAGAUUUAGGAGAAGAGUCAGAGAGCACCCUCAUCCCAUUCCACAAGGGGAGCCCCUCAAGUGACAAAGGCCAAAAGGACCAGCCCAAGAUGGCCAGCACGAAGGCC
rnacentral:lncRNA from 1 species